CUGUUGUGUAUUUCCUGUGCAUGCAUUGAGAGAAUUUAUACUUAAAACUAGACAUAAUAUUAUUGAUUUACUUAAACAUACACGCAAUCCGAUGAUCAAGUAAAAUGAAAAAAGGAAAAGAUACACAGGGACCCUGGGGCGAACUAUUCUAUACUGAUAAGAUAUUUCAAGUGUUGGCUGCGUGCGUAUUAAUUUUAUUUGCAUUCAUUAACAUCGUCUAUCUGAUUAAUGGUUGUCCAUGGUUGGUAUUGAACUACGUAUUCUAUGCUAUGCUAAUAGCCUUUGGAUAUUUUAUCGGUUACGCAAGGUGCAAAUCUAAUAUUAGAAAAAGCCAGAAUACCAUAAAAGAAAUGAUAUAUAACUGAAAUAACAUCUUUUCUGUGAUGACUUCGUGUGAUAAAUUCAAUUGUGAAAACUCAUGGAUAUUAGACAGUCUUUAGACGGAUCAUUAUUAUUUUGGAUUUCAAAAACAAUUAUUAUCAUGGUGUAUGUGUAAAAACCUAUUCGAUUAAUUACAUGAUUAAGUAUGACUGAAAGAAAACGUCUUAUGAUACUCAUCCAGCAAAAAGGUACAAACAGUAUUCAAAUCAAUAAUUUGCAAAAUCUGCAUUAUCAAGAAAGAUAUUUGUAAUUUCCUUAAUGAUAACUUAAUAACAUUAGUUGACACAGCUUUCUUGUUUCUAUUUUACAGUCUCAAAAUACACAAUGUUCAUGUUUAAAUCAUUUUUCGAUAAGAAUUGUGUGUUCCUUAUAUUUACUUCCAACAUUUUAAAGUAUCGAAUCAAUUUUCGUAGGUUCAGCUUAACAAUUGCAAGGGAAAUGUAUGUAUUUAAUGUUUUUAGAAAUAUAAUGACAAGAAAUGUUUCAUUCGUCAGAUUUAUCGAAUUCAUUUGUUUUUAAUAAACUACAUAUAAAAUAUUUCAUAUUAUUAUGUGUGAAAAAAUAGCAAUAUGUUGAACUGUGCAAUACAGAACUUAAAUAUUUCUAUCUCCUGCGUUUGUAUUUUUGUUUAGUUCUUCGUGUACUUGCAGUACAGUAUUUACUAUAUAUUUAUAAAAUAUGAAGUGGCAUUGACUUUAAUUUUCUAUAAAUCUCUUUUGUAUGAUUUACCUGUGUUGACAACAGCUGAUAAAUGUUGUGUAUUUCCUGUGCAUAUAUUGAGAGAAUUUAUACUUAAAACUAGACAUAAUAUUAUUGAUCUACUUAAACAUACACACAAUCCGAUGAUCAAGUAAAAUGAAAAAAGGAAAAGAUACACAGGGACCCUGGGGUGAACUAUUCUACACUGAUAAGAUAUUUCAAGUGUUGGCUGCGUGCGUAUUAAUUUUAUUUGCAUUCAUUAAUAUCGUCUAUCUGAUUAAUGGUUGUCCAUGGUUGGUAUUGAACUACGUAUUCUAUGCUAUGCUAAUAGCCUUUGGAUAUUAUAUCGGUUACGCAAGGUGCAAAUCUAAUAUAAGGAAAAGCCAGAAUACCUUAAAAGAAAUGAUAUAUAAUUGAAAUUCAUCUCCUGUGUGAUGACUUCGUGUGUUAAAUUCAAUUCUAGAAAAUCAUGGAUAUUAGACAGUCUUUAUUCGGAUCAUUAUUAUUUUGGAUUUCAAAAACAAUUAUUUUCCUGGUGCACGUGUAAAAACCUGUUGCAAUAAUUACAUACUUAUAAAUUAUGACUGAAAGAAAACGUCUUAUGAUACUCAUCUGGCAAAAAGGUAUAAAAAGGAUUCAGAUCAUUAUUGUGCUUAUUCUCAUAAUCAAGAAAGAGAUUUGUAGUUCCCUUAUGAUAACUUAAUGUGGUAUCAAACACCGUGACUAAAAUUAAUUUGGCUCGUUUAAUUUUCAUAAAAUUUUGACAAAAUAUAUACUUUGACCCUUUGACAAAAAUAUAAAAUUUCAAAACACUUUAACCACAAACUUUAUCGGAAAAAUUUCAUUGGAUAUAUAGCAGUUCGACAAACACUAAUUUUGAUCAUUGAGAAGCUUAAUAUUUCCUUAACAAUAGAACGUGAUUAAAACGUUCAGCUGAUUUUUACAGAGAAGAAUUAUGUACCUCCUUAAUAAGAUUUUUUUACACUUUCUUGUCUCUAUUUUACCGCCUGAAAAUAAACAAAUUUCAUGUUUUAAAUAAUUUUCGAUAAGAAUUGACCAGUGUUAUCUUUUUAUUUACUUUCAACAUUUUGGAGUAUCGAAUCAAUAAUCGCUUGUUCAGCUUAUCAUACUAAAGGGAAAUGUACGUUUUAAUGUGUGUAGCAAUCUAAAGACGAGAAUAUUUUUAUAUGUCAUAUUCAUCGAACUCAUUUUGUUUUCAUAACUAUGUAUAGAAUAUUUUAUAUUAUUUUGGGUGAACAAUUAUGUGGAACUGUGUAAUACAGAACUUUUCUUUUUCUAUCUCUUGCGUUUGUAUUUUGUUUUGUUGUUCAUGGACAUAAGUGUAGUAUUUAAUCACUUUGGAAGAGAUCAGGUGUUUUUCUGACGUGGGUACAAUGUAUUUUGAGGAGCAAAACUAAAUUUUCGUUAUUUCGUCUGUAAAAGAGGAAGGCCGAGAGUUAUAAGACUAUAAUAUAUACAGGGCCUCUGUUUUUUUCUGAUUAGAUAUUUCUUCAAUUCAGGUCGAGCUUAUUGAACUGGACAUUAUAAUUCGAAGACAUGAAAGGCAUUUUCAUUCAUCAUAUUAAAAAAAAGUGGAAGUAUCAGUAUUAUAAAUUGCCAUUUGGGCAGUAUUUUUAAUCAAGAUUAAAAAUCAAUUCAAAAAUUAAAAUGACACUUUAUAAAUUUGUUGCGUUUUAAGCGCUUUCCGGAAUUUACCAUCAUAAGGAUCACACAUAUUCAAAAAAUUGAAAGCAAGGGUGUAUAACUACCUAAACACGUAAAGCGGUAUAUGAUCAAAAGGUCCAUAAAAGAAUAACCAAAUAUACUAAAGUGAAGAUUGCCCGAAGUACUUAGCAUACACUUUUUUUUAUUAUAAUUCCUUUAUACAGUAAAUCAAUAUCAAUGAUCUUGAAAAAUGGCUAAAUUGGCAUUUCCCAUUGUAUUAUUCUUCCUUUAUACAGGAAAAUAAUUUCAAUGAUCUUGAAAAUGACUAAAUUGAUUUGCUCAAUAAAAAUACCAAAGCUGUAACAUUGAGAUGAAAAUAGAAUACAAUGAAAAUAAAAAAGUUAUUCAAAGGACAGAGCUCGAUCAACACCUGAAAGUUAGAGACAAUACAAAAUUCACCGAAACCCCAGAGUGAUAAAUCGUACUGCACAAGAGCAAACAUAUCCUACUUCAUGUGUCGCAUAUGUCGUUUUUGUCAAGUGGUUUCAAAGUAAUCGAAGGUAUUUAAUAAGAAAUUAAUCAUAUAUCGAAGAAAAAUAGAAUGGCCAUAAAGAACAACUACGAAAGUGUAUUGGUUUAUUUACGUCUCUUGACAUAGUAGAUAACUUAUUUCUACUAUUAUGUAAUAUAAUUCUAACGUUUAUGUUAAAUUUGCACGAAUGCUGUCAAAGUAUCUGUGAAUUAUAGAUUUUAUAUUUUAUACACCAAAGGGAAAACUAUUAUCAACAGCUUGCUAUCUCCCCUUUUUUAAAUAACAUUGGCAGUCAAUAAUGCGUAAAUGAAUGACUUUUCUGAUUCAUUCAAAUGAUGUAUACAGCAUGCCGUUCUAUAUAUGUUGAUAAUAUAUAUAUUCAUGUAAAAUAACUUUGAAAUCAAUUGUAACAUACAUUGAGGGUAGAAAUAAGUGAAUACAAUUAGUGUAUAUAAAUGUACAUCUUGAUGUGUUUAUAAGCAAUAUUAAAUAUCUACACUUGUUUUUAUUUUCAGAUAACUGAAAUUCAUCUUUUCUAUGAUGACUUCGUUUGUUUAAUUCAAUUCUAAAAACACUUGGAUAUUAAAAACAAUCUUUAGUCGGAUCAUUAUUUUUGGAAUUUCAAAAGCAGUUCAUGUCGUGGUGUAUGUGGAAAAAUUUGUUCCAAUUAUUACAUAAUCAUUAAGUAUGAUUGAAAGAAAACUUCUUAUAAUACUCAUUCGGCAAAAAGCUACAAAAGGACUCAGAUCAAUUUUUGCAUAUUAUGUAUUAUCAAGAAAGAGAUUAAUAAUCCCCUUUUGAUAACAUAAUGAAUUAUUUUUCACAGUUUUUUGUCUCUUUUUUACAUCCUGAAAAUAAAACAAAAUUCAUGUUUUAAAUCAUUUUUCGAUAAGAAUUAACCAGUGUUUUCUUUUUAUUUAUAAAAAUUAACCAGUGUUUUCUUUUUAUUUAUAAGAAUUAACCAGUGUUUUCUUUUUAUUUAUAAGAAUUAACAAGUGUUUUCUUUUUAUUUAUAAGAAUUAACCAGUGUUUUCUAUUAUUUAUAAGAAUUAACCAGUGUUUUCUUUAUAUUUACUGGCCAGAUUUUGAAGUAUCGGAUCAAUUAUCGUAGGUUCAGCUUAACAUUUUCAAGGGAAAUGUAUGUUUGUGAUGUAUGUAGCAAUGUAAUAACAAACAUUGGUUUGCCAUUUAUCAGAUUCAUCGAAUUUAGUCUACGUAUAAAAUAUUUUAUUUAUUAUGUGUGAAAAAAAUAUCAACAUGUUGAACUGUGUAAUACAGAACUAUACUAUAUAUAUAUAUCUUCUUUGUCUGUAUUUCGAUUAGAUCUUCAUGAGCUUGCA